rnacentral:sRNA from 1 species
GCCUAGCCCCGAUUGUAAAGACAUCCUUUUUCUUGCUGCGAAAGCAAAAAGAAAAAGAUAUAGUGGAAAGCGGGAAAUAGC